UUUCCGUAGGUGAACCUGCGGAAGGAUCAUUACUGAGUGAGGGCCCCUCGGGGUCCAACCUCCCACCCGUGUUUAACGAACCUUGUUGCUUCGGCGGGCCCGCCUCACGGCCGCCGGGGGGCAUCUGCCUCCGGGCCCGCGCCCGCCGAAGCCACCUGUGAACGCUGUCUGAAGUAUGCAGUCUGAGACAAUUAUUAAAUUAAUUAAAACUUUCAACAACGGAUCUCUUGGUUCCG
rnacentral:misc_RNA from 1 species